rnacentral:rRNA from 1 species
CAAGAACGAAAGUUAGAGGUUCGAAGGCGAUCAGAUACCGCCCUAGUUCUAACCGUAAACUAUGCCUACUAGAUGUAUGAAUUAUUAGUUAUAAUAAUUUAUGCAUCUUCUCGGAAACGAAAGUCUUUCGGUUCCGGGGGAAGUAUGGUUGCAAAGCUGAAACUUAAAGGAAUUGACGGAAGGGCACCACCAGGAGUGGAGCCUGCGGCUUAAUUUGACUCAACACGGGAAAACUCACCCGGGCCGGACACUAUAAGGAUUGACAGAUUGAUAGCUCUUUCAUGAUUUAGUGGUUGGUGGUGCAUGGCCGUUCUUAGUUCGUGGAUAUGAUUUGUCUGGUUGAUUCCGAUAACGAGCGAGACUUUUAUGUUAUAUUAAAUAUUAUUAUUUUGUUUAUUUUAAUAUAAAUAAUUAAUAUUUUAAUAACAGAUUAAUAGUGUUUAACUAUUUGAGAGAGAGCGAUAACAGGUCUGUGAUGCCCUUAGAUGUCCGGGGCUGCACGCGCGCUACAAU